CAGCAGCCGCGGGAAUACGAAGGGGGCUAGCGUUGUUCGGAUUUACUGGGCGUAAAGGGCGCGUAGGCGGGCGAAUAAGUCAGGGGUGAAAUCCCAAGGCUCAACCUUGGAACUGCCUUUGAUACUGUUUGUCUUGAGUUCGAGAGAGGUAAGUGGAACUGCGAGUGUAGAGGUGAAAUUCGUAGAUAUUCGCAAGAACACCAGUGGCGAAGGCGGCUUACUGGCUCGAAACAGACGCUGAGGCGCGAAAGCGUGGGGAGCAAACAGGAUUAGAUACCCCUGUAGUCCCUGUCUCUUAUAC
rnacentral:rRNA from 1 species